AUGUUCAUUUUUGCAGCUCUUUGCUACCUGACUCGUCCAAGUCCUUUUGCAUCUGGUCUGGGAAUGUGGUGCUUUGUGAGCAGUUUUUAGGAGUCACCUGGGGUCUCUCUUCAUUAUUUCUUCAUUGAAAUUAUGGAUGCGAUUUAGCAGGGUCCUGGGGGUGCAGAGAGGAGCUCAGCAAGCUGGGCAGAGGCUCAAUCCACAGCACUCUGUCUCACUGGCAGCACAUACUAAGAAAGCCCAGGAUGGGGGUGCCUGCCUGCGUGUGUCAUUGAAGAGAAGUAAACAAACAGGAGAAGAGGGACUUUGGAGUUAGUCUGAGAAAAUGGUCUUGGUUUCAUACAGUGAAUAGUUUUCAUUCAGGUUGCCAAAAGCAAUUGCUGAAUUGAUUUUUAAAAACCAAACCUACCUAUAUCUUCCUUGACUAUUUCAAACAAACUUUUCUUUGAAUAACAAUGUUCUGGGGAAAAUCUGGUGUUCCAACUGAGUGGUACUCCAAAAAUCUGCUAAUUUUUUUCCUCACGUUGAGGGGGUGGUGCUUGGGUGGCUUAGUAGGUUAAACAUCUGACUCUUGGUUUUGGCUCAGGUCAUGAUCUCAGGAUUGUGAGAGAGAACCCUGAGUCAGGCUCCAUGGUCAGCGGGCAGUCUGCUGGAGAUUCUCUUUCCCUCUCCAUCUGCCCCUCCCCCUACUCUUGCUUGCUCAAUAAACAAGUAAAUAAAUGAAUAAAUAAAUAAACUCUUUUUUUAAAAAAUGACAGCACUUGUUUAUGCUUUUCUUCCUAUUUUGAGAUGCCUCCACAGUAAAGGUCGACUGGUUACAUAAUCUGCUGGACCCAUAACAUGACAGGGGUGGGGGGGAGGGGGUGGGGGGCAUGUUCCUUGUUCAAAAAUUAUUAAGAAUCUCAAUAUGAUGAGGGUAGAACACUGAAAGAAGCACAGGGCCCUCUAAGUCCAGGGCCUGUGUGACUGCAACAGGUGCACGUCCAUGCAGCCGGUCCCACCUGAGAGGCUGCUGGAUCUCUGUAUGGACCUUAAAUAAGGACGAAGUCGAUUCAGUCAACUGCUCUGAUGUGGGUCAAUGACCUCUACUCCCAGGGCUACUCUUAAACUGAAAGUGGAGUCACAGUAACACUCUUGCCUCAUCUGCUAUUGAAACCAGCUUCAGAACUACAGGUUUUCCUUAUGUAUGUGAGGAAGGAAAAUAAAAGAAUCAUUCAUAGUGCAGGGAAGAAACUGAAAUUACCCUAUUUGCUCUGAGAAGGAUAUGAUAUUCGGGAGUUGAUUUUCUCAUGAGACAAAUACAGAUUUCUGUAUGAAUAGGUUCUCUUCUAUGCAAAGCACAUAGAAUGAUUGUUAGGCAGGUGACUCCCUUUUAAAAAUAAAAGUGCAUCAGUUUAAACAUAACUCAGUUAUAUUUUCAAAAAUCUAAUACUUGAAGAUGCCAUAUUUCCUAAAGAAAAGGAUACAUGAUGGAUACCUUGUUCUAUGCUCUGAGAUAAAUUAUAAAUAAAGCAGAUGAGAUCAACAGAUUCAGAAUGAUUACUCAAUUAUUGCCCACUGUAGAAAAAUCCAAUGGGACAUAGAACAUAAAUAUAAUAUUCUUAAAUGUAGGCUUUCUGAUCGAGUGACAUGUAUUUUUUUUUAAUAAAAGAUGACAAACGAGAAAGUUACUCAAAAUUUUUCCUGGUUUCAAAUCUCAACAUUUUCCAGCUAAAAUAUACUUAAGAAAUUAUUUCUACCUUGUAUUCAAGUCAAACUCUUUCUGAGACAAGUUUCUGUAAAUCCAGCCAUUUUUCAAGGUCCUUGUGGAGGCAUCUGUGAAUCUUU
rnacentral:lncRNA from 1 species